UUAACUGAAGCCAAAAAGAGGCAUCUCAUUGUUAAUGAGAUUAUUGAUUUACAAAUCCAGUUAAA
rnacentral:tRNA from 1 species